rnacentral:misc_RNA from 1 species
ACAAACUUGGUCAUUUAGAGGAAGUAAAAGUCGUAACAAGGUUUCCGUAGGUGAACCUGCGGAAGGAUCAUUAAUAAUGAUUUUUCAUCAUUACGAUGAAAAAAAACCUACCCUGUGUGCAUCUGUAAAAUGUACUUCUGGGGGGAAGUAUUUUCCCCCAGAGGUUUUUUUCUCAUACACAUUUUUAAUUGAAUAAAAAAAAUUUUUUUUAAAACAAAAACAACUUUCAACAACGGAUCUCUUGGCUCUCGCAUCGAUGAAGAACGCAGC